rnacentral:lncRNA from 1 species
GUGAAUUAAGUAUAAUACCAAAAUGUUAUAAUUUUAGAAAAAUACCAUUUGUUUUGGCUUGAUCAUAAGCCCUCAUUUUGUAGAAAUUUUUAUCAUCUAUGACGCAUGAAUUGCCAGAUAUAUAAAUGAAAAAGUUUAUCAACAGUUAGAGAGAGAUAUUACAGUGGACUUUUUGUUUUACAAUAUCAUAUGACCAAUUAUGGUGCUUGUAAGCAGAUUCAGCCUAUCAGUGAUCCCCUUUUAUGAGCAUUUGGAGCUCACUAACUUGCUUUUAAGUGUUUAAUGUGUGUUGCUCUAUUUAUGCACUUUUUUAUGCUAUAUUUGUUCAUUAGACAUAUUUCAAUUAAUAUUAAUACUUUGAUAUGUUCUUAUAAUAUUUUACUUAUUAAAAUUGCAUGUUUAAAUAAUUAUAAAGUGUUUUUUAAGCAAAAAAUAAAUAUCAACUUCCAAAUUGUCUUGGAACAAAUUAAGCCUUUAACAUGUAUUUCCUAUAUUUGAUUAACAGUGGC